rfam:Brachypodium distachyon strain Bd21 chromosome 5, whole genome shotgun sequence.
CUAAUACUCACUCCGUACGACAAAAGAUGUCUCAACUUUGAUCAAAUUUGAAUGCAUCUAUACACUAAAUAUUGUCUAGCUACAUCCAAAUUUUGACAAACUUGAGACAUCUUUUGUCGGACAGAGGUAGUACCAG